rnacentral:misc_RNA from 1 species
AACGCAUAUUGCGCUCCUCGGCAUUCCGUGGAGCAUGCCUGUUUGAUGCGCCCGAGAAAAAUGGGCCGGGGGACUUGUUCCCCGGACCGCUUUUGAGCUUUCUCACCUUGUGAGUAGUUCAAAGUCACAGAAUUUUGAGAGGUCGCUUGCGCAGUUUACGGUCCAAAGACACUGUCAGCCGACGUCGAAGGAUACACUCCACAUGCGAAACGAUAAUAAUUUCUUUGUCGGAUUAACAUGUGGGCUUUCGGCGAACCGCAGGACGGAGUCGGCGAGCACGAUUCAUCGCGGGGCGCAUCUUUAUUGAGCGGAUCACUCCCCUCAGAAAUUUUGCAUCAAAUCAGGUAGGGUUACCCGCUGAACUUAA